rnacentral:lncRNA from 1 species
CAAUGCCAAGUGCUUGAGCAUCAACUCCAACAAGAAUAUCAGUCCCACCAAGCCAUCAACAAAACCUGUCUCUCUUCUCUCCAUGCAAAACCUCCCAAAAGGCCUAACCAUCUCAAAACCAGCAGAUAACACUGUCCUGACCGGUACUGCUAUUGCCGGUGCUAUCUUCACAACCUUGAGCUCAUGUGAACCUGCUUUUGCUGCGCAACAAAUCGCUGAAAUAGCAGAAGGUGACAACCGUGGUCUAGCGCUCUUGCUACCACUCAUACCAGCCAUAGCUUGGGUGCUUUUCAACAUCCUCCAACCAGCACUUAACCAAAUUAACCGCAUGCGUCAGACCAAAGGGGUGAUCGUUGGGCUUGGACUUGGUGGAUUGGCUGCAUCAGGUUUCAUAUCAACACCACACGCAUCAGCUAGUGAGAUUGCCAUGAUUGCUGAUGCAACAAGUGACAAC